rnacentral:rRNA from 1 species
UACGUAGGGGGCAAGCGUUGUCCGGAAUCAUUGGGCGUAAAGAGCGUGUAGGCGGCUCGAUAAGUCUGCUGUGAAAGUCCAGGGCUCAACCCUGGAAUGCCGGUGGAAACUGUCGGGCUGGAGUCCGGAAGAGGCGAGUGGAAUUCCUGGUGUAGCGGUGAAAUGCGCAGAUAUCAGGAGGAACACCAAUGGCGAAGGCAGCUCGCUGGGACGGUACUGACGCUGAGACGCGAAAGCGUGGGGAGCAAACAGG